AAAAGCAAUUUUCUAAACUUAUCGUGGAUCCUAGUUCCCUAUUUUCUUGGUUUCGCCCAUUUCCCGAGCGUAAGCGUAUUUCGCGUAACCUUCGGUUCAAAAUCGCCUGCCGGUUGGAAUUAAAACGCGAGAAAAAUGUGUUUGUUAGGCGUACGCGCGUUUUUCGGGAGGUGGGGCCCGGACGCAUUCCGGUUUUCCGGCCCGAAUUCGGUGUCCACUUCGCCCCGUGUUCACGAAAACCG